GACGAACGCUGGCGGCGUGCUUAGCACAUGCAAGUCGAACGGAAAGGCCUCUUUCGGGGGGUACUCGAGUGGCGAACGGGUGAGUAACACGUGAGUAACCUGCCCUUGACUUUGGGAUAACUUCAGGAAACUGGGGCUAAUACCGGAUAGGAGCUCCUGCUGCAUGGUGGGGGUUGGAAAGUUUCGGCGGUUGGGGAUGGACUCGCGGCUUAUCAGCUUGUUGGUGGGGUAGUGGCUUACCAAGGCUUUGACGGGUAGCCGGCCUGAGAGGGUGACCGGCCACAUUGGGACUGAGAUACGGCCCAGACUCCUACGGGAGGCAGCAGUGGGGAAUAUUGCACAAUGGGUGGAAGCCGGAUGCAGCAACGCCGUGUGCGGGAUGACGGCCUUAGGGUUGUAAACCGCUUUCGCUCAUGACGAAGCUUUGUGUGACGGUAGUGGGUAAAGAAGCACCGGCUAACUACGUG
rnacentral:rRNA from 1 species